rnacentral:rRNA from 1 species
CAGAGGAAAAGAAACCAACAGGGAUUGCCUCAGUAACGGCGAGUGAAGCGGCAAAAGCUCAAAUUUGAAAUCUGAUUUUUUUCUUUUUUUUUAAAAAAUCAGAGUUGUAAUUUGUAGAGGAUGUUUAUUUUCAUUCUGAGGUUUAAGUCUUCUGGAAAGAAGCAUCAUGGAGGGUGAUAAUCCCGUAAAUGACCUCGAGGUUUGAAAUCUGUUAAACUCCUUCAAUGAGUCGAGUUGUUUGGGAAUGCAGCUCUAAAUGGGAGGUAAAUUUCUUCUAAGGCUAAAUAUUGGCUGGAGACCGAUAGCGAACAAGUAGAGUGAUCGAAAGAUGAAAAGUACUUUGGAAAGAGAGUUAAAUAGUAUGUGAAAUUGUUGAAAGGGAAGCAUUUGCAACCAGAUUU